GAGUGACCUUAGUACCCUAGCCCUUCAUGUAAUCAGAUGGGUGUUGUAAGCAGAGGGAGAACCAUCAGAAAUGAAGAUGCUUGUUUUCCUAGAAACAAGCCCAGGUCAUCCAUCAUGAAGUCCAGGAAUUGUAAAUGUGAGGAAGUGCAAAGACACAACGUACACUUACAAAGGCAUAUGUGCAUUUGGAAUUCUUUAAAGGACAACAUCCUCGAGCUUCUCCUGUUAAAAACAACUGAGACUAUGAAGGGGACACAUGAUGGCAAGUGUGAAAGACUCCAAGGCGAUUCUUCCUCCUACACUGUCUCCCUCCCAGCAAGAAGGCUCCAGGUCCUUGUAACCAUUUUGUCUCCAGCUGCAUCUUGAUGUCUAAUCCAGAACCUUCCCGCUGCAAGUUCCCACAACUGUUCUCUGCUGGAUAUAAAGAACAACUGGUAGCAGGACCCUGAGGUUGGUAAACUGGGGCAUCUCUAAAUGACAACAUUUCAGCUUCAGUAGAGGGAUGGAGUGAUGUGGCCUUUCACGUCUAUGAAAGAAAAGUAAAGAAGAGUUUGUGAGUAACAUUUCCUUCAGCACUCCUCAAAAUUUAGAAAAAUGAAGGCAAGAAACAAGAUGAAGAAGAAAGAAGAAAAGGAUGGGGCCUCCACGUGAAAAGUAACUACAAAACAGAACCAGAAAAUAGUCAUGCUGUUCAAACAUUACACUCCAAGAAAAGAAACUCUAGUGUAUAACAGAGGGGCUCUGUCAAAAUUUAACAACAUAAAUAUUGGGCAAAUGAAGUUGUUUCUCUGGUGCUAUCUCAACCUGCCAAUGGAGAAAUAUCUCAAAAAGUCAAGAAUUGAAGCCAUUACUCAGAGACAGCAUCCUAUGGCAUGGUGAUCCAAAACAAGUACACCUCUACCUUUUCCCUUUCAGCCCCAAACCCCAAAACACUGGAGAAUAUUGGGGCAGGCAAGGCCCGUGAAUAGGUGAGCAGAGCUGGAAGAAGAGACUCCUGCCCCUGGUGGGCCUCAGGCUAUUUGUGGAAUGAUGUUUGUGAGAUGAACAUGUUCGCUCCCUCACCCGGAUGUUUUGGACAUAGGAGCCUGGAGUAAAGAGUGUAUAUCUUGGGCUGUCA
rnacentral:lncRNA from 1 species